AUGCAAGUCGAGCGGGGGAAGGUAGCUUGCUACUGGACCUAGCGGCGGACGGGUGAGUAAUGCUUAGGAAUCUGCCUAUUAGUGGGGGACAACAUCUCGAAAGGGAUGCUAAUACCGCAUACGUCCUACGGGAGAAAGCAGGGGAUCUUCGGACCUUGUGCUAAUAGAUGAGCCUAAGUCGGAUUAGCUAGUUGGUGGGGUAAAGGCCUACCAAGGCGACGAUCUGUAGCGGGUCUGAGAGGAUGAUCCGCCACACUGGGACUGAGACACGGCCCAGACUCCUACGGGAGGCAGCAGUGGGGAAUAUUGGACAAUGGGGGGAACCCUGAUCCAGCCAUGCCGCGUGUGCGAAGAAGGCCUUAUGGUUGUAAAGCACUUUAAGCGAGGAGGAGGCUACUUUAGUUAAUACCUAGAGAUAGUGGACGUUACUCGCAGAAUAAGCACCGGCUAACUCUGUGCCAGCAGCCGCGGUAAUACAGAGGGUGCGAGCGUUAAUCGGAUUUACUGGGCGUAAAGCGUGCGUAGGCGGCUUAUUAAGUCGGAUGUGAAAUCCCCGAGCUUAACUUGGGAAUUGCAUUCGAUACUGGUGAGCUAGAGUAUGGGAGAGGAUGGUAGAAUUCCAGGUGUAGCGGUGAAAUGCGUAGAGAUCUGGAGGAAUACCGAUGGCGAAGGCAGCCAUCUGGCCUAAUACUGACGCUGAGGUACGAAAGCAUGGGGAGCAAACAGGAUUAGAUACCCUGGUAGUCCAUGCCGUAAACGAUGUCUACUAGCCGUUGGG
rnacentral:rRNA from 1 species